GACGAACGCUGGCGGCGUGCUUAACACAUGCAAGUCGAACGGAAAGGCCCUGCUUUUGUGGGGUGCUCGAGUGGCGAACGGGUGAGUGACACGUGAGUAACCUGCCCUUGACUUUGGGAUAACUUCAGGAAACUGGGGCGAAUACCGGAGAGGAGCUCCUGCUGCAUGGGGGGGGAUGGAAAGUGACGGCGGUUGGGGAUGGACUCGCGGCUUAUGAGCUUGUUGGUGGGGUAGGGGAUUACCAAGGCUUUGACGGGUAGCCGGCCUGAGAGGGUGACCGGCCACAUUGGGACUGCGAUACGGACCAGACUCCUACGGGCGGCAGCAGUGGGGAAUAUUGCACAGUGGGCGGAAGCCUGAUGCAGCAACGCCGCGUGCGGGAUGCCGUCCUUCGGGUUGUAAACCGCUUUCGCCUGUGACGAAGCGUGAGUGACGGUAAUGGGUCAAGAAGCACCGGCUAACUACGUG
rnacentral:rRNA from 1 species